CAUACCUCAGUUUUUUAACGCACCUGCAGCACGGCCUUUCCUCCUCUCAGACGCGCCAUACACAGAUUUUCCGUGGUCGACGUUCGUCCUUUCCUUCGUGCCACGGUUUCCCAUCAUUGGCGCCUCUUUUUCAAACUCACCCCUUAAAAACGCGGAGUGUAAUAGCGAUAAUCAAACUUUUACUCGCCCCCCCUCCCCAUCACCUCAAGGCAGCCACAAUGGCCACCGCCGCUCACCUGCAGAAGAUAACAGGCCUCAAGGAGGCCCGCGCAAAGGAGUGUUUUGACGCCUUCGGCAGCUACCCCGCCGCCCUCGCGUCGUUCGCGCAGUCGUUUUCCGCCAUUCCAGCUGACUUCUUCGAGGACACAACCGUGGCCCACAAAAAUGCAGAGAAGAUCAACGAUGAGCUACGCGUCAUUCACCGCAAAGCGCGAGAGUUGAAGGCCAAGUCAGGCAAGUCGGACGCGGAGGUGUGGAGGAUGUAUUCCGCAGAACAGAAGGCGCUGUCGGAAGCCACAGCGCCAACAGCUCAGGGCUCGGUGCUGGGGGAGGCACCAGCGACGCAGGCGAACGUGUCUGGCGCUCCCGCCGCACCCAGCACGUCGUCAGCCAAUGCAAGCGCCUUUGGCUUUGGUGUUGCAGCUUCCACUCAGGCCACGUCAAUGCCCGGCGCAAAGCCAAUGUUCGGCUUCGGCAACACUGCAGCUACGACGCCGAAGCCCGCCUCUGAUGCGGCAGUGCCGAUUUCCUUCGGCUUCGGCAAGACUGCUGCAACGACAACCACAACGGCUACUGCUCCGUCGGUGUCCAGCUUUGGUGCGGCUGCCGAGGCAGCCACUGCGGACCGGGCGUCAAAGAAGCCCGUGAAGUAUUGCAAGCCGACUCAUUUCACCGGCCCUUACUUUGAUAUGCCCCUCUUCUGGCAGGUAGAGGUGGUGGAGCGGGCGCCACUGUUAAACCUGAACAACGGAUUUCUGGAGGCGCACAAGGAUGAGCUGCGGCCGCGGCUCGAGAAAUGGGUGGAGAAGGCCGCAUUUUACCGCAAGCCCGUGCAGUACGUAGAGAUCGAAGACGAGGAUGAGGAUGUGGUGCGCGUCAUCAUCAAGGACGCAGACCGCACCUUCUUCCAUCCGGACCACCGCCGAAAGAUGGUGGCGUUUCUGAACGCCAUGUACCACGAGUUCCACGCGUACGGCCAGGCCAUGAGCUAUCUUGCUGGCUUGUGCAUGCUUGUGCUGACCGAGGUUGAGACGGCGGCAGUGAUCCGGUUUGUGGCGACGGAGUACCUGAAGGGGCACUGGGCAGCGGAGGCGGUGGGCUUCGCCACGAGUGCGUGGGUGGUCGAGUACUUUAUGCAGAAGCAGCAGCCCGAGGUCGCGAAGCAUCUGGAGAAGCUGAAUUUCUGGCCGGACACAUACCUGCAGAAGAUCUUGACAGGUCUGUGCAUUCACGUGCUGCAAUUCAACGAACUCUUCAGCUUCUUGGAUGCCUUCAUGCAAGGCGGCAUGCGAUUCCUCAUCCGCUUCUGUCUCGCCAUUGUCGAGCACUUCCGCACCGAACUACUCGCCAUCAAGAGCUCCACCGAGGCGAACGAGCUGUACGAGCUGAUGCGCCUGGAUUAUCGCGUCGCUGACCACGAGGAUGUCCUGGCCAUUCUUCAGCGGGCACCGUACAUCGACCUCGGAGAGGAUGGAGACAGCAUCGAUCUCAUCCGCAGCCAGGUCUACGAGAAGCGCAUUGCGCCUCGCCUGCAGCGGGCGCCAAAGACGGAAACGUUUGAGCCGUGCGAAAUCUGCGACAAGAAACGGCCAAAGUGGUGGAACGAAGACCUCGGUGCUGUGUGCGAUGACUGCAAGGCCACCCAUCCACACAUCGAGUUCGAGAAGUACUGAAGACGCUUAAAACCGAAAAAGAGAGAUGGGGAAGAGGAGCUCUUUGUUCGGACAGCUUGAAAAGCUUCCGAGAGCGGCUCAGCUUCCUUUCGCGACAUUCCGUGCCGGUGCUUCCUAUCGCCCCAUCGUUUCGUUUUUUUUUCCUGCCGCCCCCUGUGAAGGGGCGGGGCGGGGGGCGCGUGCGUAAGCCGCAACCGUUGUGCCGCUACUGCCACGGUGUGCACGCAAAGGCAAAAGAAGAGAAUCAAGCUCCGCAGCGAGUGUGCAUCCUGCACGCAUAGGUGGUACACGGGAGGAUAUAUGCAAUGCUCUGCAUCGACCAUGAUGAGAGCCCCGCCAGCUAUCCCUUCCUGUGCGUGUUGCUGGUCUUUUCUCGUUCCUUGUUGUACGCGCAACCCCAAGUGACGGGGCAACUAAGCCGUUUAGUCACGCGAAAUGGACGAAGCACACCUCUCAGCUGCACUUCUCUAUCUUCUAUGCUUCUUCUUGUUUGUUUUCACCGCUUAG
rnacentral:misc_RNA from 1 species